rnacentral:rRNA from 1 species
CGGACGGGUGAGUAACGCGUGGGGAACCUGCCUGUACAGGGGGAUAACACUUAGGAAAUAGGUGCUAAUACCGCAUAAGCGCACAGUAUCGCAUGAUACAGUGUGAAAAACUCCGGUGGUACAGGAUGGACCCGCGUCUGAUUAGCUGGUUGGCGGGGUAAAGGCCACCAAGGCGACGAUCAGUAGCCGGCCUGAGAGGGUGGACGGCCACAUUGGGACUGAGACACGGCCCAAACUCCUACGGAAGGCAGCAG